rnacentral:rRNA from 1 species
AUUGAACGCUGGCGGCAGGCCUAACACAUGCAAGUCGAACGAGUGGCGGACGGGUGAGUAAUGUCUGGGAAACUGCCUGAUGGAGGGGGAUAACUACUGGAAACGGUAGCUAAUACCGCAUACCAUCAGCUGGGCCCAUAUGGGAUUAGCUAGUUGGUGGGGUAACGGAUCACCAAGGACACGAUCCCUAGCUGGUCUGAGAGGAUGAACAGCCCUAGUGGAACUGAGACACGGUCCAGAGCCCGACGGUAGGCAGCGGUGGGGAAUAUUGCACAAUGGGCGCAAGCCUGAUGAAGCCAUGCCGCGUGUAUGAAGAAGCCCUUCGGGUUGUAAAGUACUUUCAGCGGGGAGGCGUUACCCGCAGAAGAAGCACCGGCUAACUCCGUGCCAGCAGCCGCGGUAAUUC